CCCCCCGCGGAGAAGCUUACAAUAAGAGCACAAACGUUUGCUCCCUGGAAAAAUAUUUAGCCUACCAGAUAUUUAGGUCCCGUGUGGCUCAGUUGGUAGAGCAUGGCGGUUCCCACAGGAGACCAGUCCGAAAAAGUAGGAAAAAUGUAUGCUACUGUAAAUCGCUCUGGAUAAAGAGCGGCUGUUAAAUGACAACAACAAGAUGUACCAAGAGAAAGACGACCUACUUUUUUUCCAAUCAAAUAAUAGUUACAGUAAGUCAAUCGCAAUUGAAAGAAGUAACUUCUCAACGGCAAGUGCACUUACUUCGUUUCCAGAGCGAGGUGGAAUUCCAACCAGGCAAAAGACAUAUUUAAUCCAGGCUGAAUCACAUCCGGCCGUGAUUGGGAGUCCCAUAGUUCGGCGCACAAUUGGCACAGCGUCGUCUGGGAGCGCUGUGCUAGACAUCUGUGGGAGAAUCAUCACGCCAGGAGCAAGAGUGUGUGUGUGCUGCACGUGGUCGCUGGAGCAGACACACUCCAAUGCUGAUGUUAGCCGACAUUCCCCUCAGGCCAGAGAAUGGAGCAUGCGUGGAGACAGUUGUCGUCAUCGCACCCCCAACCCCCCCCCCCCCCACACACACACACAUACACAUACACACACUGUGAGUCAUUAUGUAAUAGCGUUGCAUGAAAACAUAAAGGAGACAGAGGAAAGAUGAGGAGAACAAUAGAGUAUGUAAUCUACAUGUUCACUCUGAUGCAGGAGCACACAUAUAUGUCCCUAGAGUGACCACUAAAGCCUAGUAUCUACUUGUUUUUGACCUAAGCCAAGCUAUCGCGAGCAUCCUGAUGAAAAUGCAGUCCAGUCCUUUUAGGGAUUUUAGGAUCUGCUUCUCAUUUUAUCUCAUCCUAUGAAUACUAUAACCCAGAUUUAACAUCAGACUGCCCUUCUAUCAACUGGUUAUGGCUUGUCCCAAAUGGCAUCCUAUCCACUAUAUGGGCCGGGGUCAAAAUAAGUGCACUCUGUAGGGCAGGGGUGCUCAACUAUUACCCUACAAGGUCCAGAGCCUGCUAGUUUUUUGUUCUACAUGAUAAUUAAUUGCACCCACCUGGCGUCGUAGGUCAAAAUUAGUCCCCGAUUAGAGGGCAACAAUGAAAAAACACAGUGGAACUGGCUUCGAGGUCCAGAGUUGAGUUUGAAGGAUAUAUGGAAUAGCGUGCCAUUUGGGACACAACGUACAUCACAAUGUGAAUUGGAACAGUCAUAUUUCAUGUUUAGUAGACGGUAGAAUCGCUUAACGGGGUUACGUAACUGUUGCCCUACCUUCCUGGGCUACGUGUAGUAUGUCAUGGAUGGAGAGGAGAUGGGGGUUAUUGUGCUCCUGCCUGUCUGGAAGCUCUUAUCAUAGGAAGCCAGGUUGUCUGCCCCACGUAGAACACUGAGAAAGGCUUUAAUUAAUAAUAAUUGAUUAUAGCUCUUUUCUACCGAGGAACUCAAAGCACUUUACAUAGUAAGGGGAAAACUCACCUCCUCCACCACCAAUGUGCAGCUUCCACCUGGGUGAUGCACACCAAACAUUUUUAUGCCAGAACAUUCACCACACAUCAGCUGAUAUAUGCCAAUUAGGAAUAAGAGGGAUGAUGGAAUGUGGAAUUUAGGCAUGACACCAGGGUUAACACCUCAACUCUUACAAUAAGUGCCAUGGGAUUUUAAUGAAUCACAGAGAGUCAGGACACACGUUUAAAGUCCCAUCUGAAAGACGGUGGUAUGCUGCUGGCUUACCUCUGAAGCUAAGCAGGGUCGGCUGCUUUAGUGCUGAGGAUUUAGAACAUAGGCUACCACAGUGCACAACCUUUCCCUGAAGAAUUCAAAAGUUAGUGUAGGCUAUAUUAUUGUCCCCCCCCCAAACAAAUCCCAAAUCCGUCUCUGUCUCUCUGAAUGGGUCAUCUUUUUUUCAGUUCAAAUUUAGUCAAGAGGAAAAGAGUGCAUUCCUUGGCCCCCAUUGUCCUCCAGAGACCUCUGAAUGAUAUGUCAUCCUCCCAUGAAAAUAUACAGGUUUGGUUUGGACCGACAGAUCACUUUCACUCACAGAUAAGUCCACAGGGCCAGUGCAUGUGUAAGAGCCAGUGUAGCAGACGUGUAUCCAGUCCAGAUAAAAUAGGCACAGAUAGCGCAAAUCAACAUGCCUGUAUCAUUUUCCCCUCUGAUUCCUUUCUUGUCUCAAAUCUAUCCUCUUAAUAUGCAGCCGAUAUUGUAUCGAGAUAUGCUCCCCAUGUACAAAAAUAGUGGUUUUAUGCUAGAUUUGCAAGAUGGGUUCAGUCUUUUUAUAUGUAGUGCUAUAUUAAACCAAGAGAGGGCAGGAGUAUACAGACACACAACCACACACCACCAAUUUCUCAAUGACCAGUGGGAAAAUAACUAUCUCUACCUACCACAAUGAGCACACACAUAGGUCAAGGAUGAUCUAUCCAAGCAAAAAAAUAAGCACCUAUUAGCUAAACAAACAACAAGCAAUGUCUCUUAAAAUGCUAUAACUAGCAUCUGCAUUUUUAUAAUAUAAAAGAUAAUGUUUUUUUUCUGUUUCUUCAUCUGAAAAUGUCAUACGAUUAACCAGGUUCCCAUUCAACCAUUUGAUGCGGAUUAGUUACCUGACACAAGAGAGAAGUCACGACCGGGCUGAUGGAAACAGGAAAUGCAGGUUUCAAAGACAGAGGACGAGACAGAGCAACAGGAGGCAGCAUUCAUCUGAUGAAGACGAUUUCUCCUCAUCACUGAUGCCCAGAAGGUCACAAGGCACAGGGUGGCUGGAUGGGUACCUUGCCUGUGUGUCAGACAAGAUGGACUUGCUUCAUUCCUUUCCAUACAUAAAUAAGCAGUCCCUCAAACUGAACACAGGCCUGCCAGCCACCCGUGAACGUCUUUUUUUAGCUUUGUUGGACUGUUCUUCACUGCAAGGCGAGCCAGUAUAGGCUUGAUUCACUUUGGAAAUCAGCGCCGGCUGAAACUGAACAGCAAGUUCAGAGAGAAGUGAAAGAAUUAGAACAAAACUCGUUUGUUUUUGCGCAAGGAACACUACAUAACCUAAUGUACUCUAAUGCAACAUAUGUAGACCCUUUCUCUAUUUCAGGGGGGUUUGCUCAAUACAUUUUUAUUUCCAGGAUGUUCUGUUGUUGCCUCCAGAGCUCAUUUGACAUCAAAUCCUUUAGGUAUGUUCACUGUGUAAUUCAUCAGUACAUUUUAGGAGAUUUCAAUGUUGGAUUUAUUUUUCAAAUAUGAGUCAUAUUGACAAAUCCUUCCUGUUUUGUAUACAUACUUGCCUUGUACUCAAACAAUAAAUGAAAUGAGUUCAU